AUAUUGGUCAAUGGGCGCAAGCCUGAACCAGCCAUGCCGCGUGCAGGAUGAAGCAUCUAUGGUGUGUAAACUGCUUUUGUACGGGAAGAAACACCUCUUCGUGAAGAGGCUUGACGGUACCGUAAGAAUAAGGAUCGGCUAACUCCGUGCCAGCAGCCGCGGUAAUACGGAGGAUCCAAGCGUUAUCCGGAAUCAUUGGGUUUAAAGGGUCCGUAGGCGGUUUUGUAAGUCAGUGGUGAAAUCCGGCAGCUUAACUGUCGAACUGCCAUUGAUACUGCAGGACUUGAAUUACUGUGAAGUAACUAGAAUAUGUAGUGUAGCGGUGAAAUGCUUAGAUAUUACAUGGAAUACCAAUUGCGAAGGCAGGUUACUAACAUUAUAUUGACGCUGAUGGACGAAAGCGUGGGUAGCGAACAGG
rnacentral:rRNA from 1 species